rnacentral:sRNA from 1 species
UAAUGACGUUUCUCCCCAUUUGCUCUUGGGCUUCGAUGGUUACGAGCGUUUGUAUUUGGUUCUGCGAAACGAACAAUUUUCCCUUGGCUCUAUGUUGUAGAAUGUGUUAUGCAUAUAUGCCGAGUAUGGUUUUUGUUUCUUUCCCUGCGUGAGCGGCUUGGAGUUUUGGCGUUUAGUUCUUCGUCCAUUUUGCUAUACUUUUCUUUUUCUCGGCGUUGGUGAUUUAUUAAACCCUGAUUAUGUUUUAUAUUACAAUCUCCUUUUUAUACGAGAUUAUGAAAAACAUCACCGCGCGUUGGGGGAACGAUUUCCGGGGGUCUUGGAAUGGUAGCUCUUUUCUAUUUAUUCAUCUUAACAAGUAGGCCGU